rnacentral:rRNA from 1 species
CGAGCACGCGCGUGUGGCAUAUCAAUAAGCGGAGGAAAAGGAAGUGAAGGUCGUCUUUACGGAGGACGAUUUUUUUGUCAGUGAGCAGGACGGUUAUGAGAUCCGUUUUGUGGUGCCAAACGCGCAGAAAAACGCGAUGGAGCCAAUCAUUCUGACCCUGAGCCCGCAGAUGGAAUCCCGGCACUACGCCCCAUUGGAAGAUGAGGAGUUCGGGUACGUGCUGCAGGGCUGUAUAGAGCUGCAUUACGGUGAUGCAGUCUACAACGUGAAAAAGGGACAGACUUUUUAUAUUGACGGCGGCAGGGGACAUUACCUGCGCAAUGUGGGAAAAACCGAGGCAAAAGUGCUCUGGGUGAGCACGCCGCCUUCGUUCUGAUGAAAAGGAGGAGUUGAAAAAAGAUGGAAAAACUCAUUGAACUGAAAAACCUGACAAAGAAUUAUGGUGACCAGCAGGUGCUGCGAGGCAUCAAUCUGGACAUUCAUCAGAACGAAUUCCUGACGCUUUUAGGACCCAGCGGCUGCGGAAAGACCACAACGCUGCGCAUUAUCGCCGGAUUUGAGGAGCCGAGCAGCGGAGAAGUGCUGUUUGACGGCAUCAAUAUUUCCGGAGUGCCUGCCUAUAAGAGAGAAGUAAACACGGUAUUUCAGAAGUAUGCGCUCUUUCCGCAUAUGAAUGUAUAUGACAAUGUUGCUUUCGGUCUGCAUAUCCGCAAGGUAGACAAGCAGAUCGUGGACACCAAGGUCCGCAGGAUGCUGGAUCUGGUCGGAUUGUCGGAUUUCGGCGAGAGGGAUGUUACCCUCCUCUCAGGCGGACAGCAGCAGCGUGUGGCGAUUGCCCGCGCGCUGGUGAAUGAGCCCAAGGUCCUCCUGCUGGAUGAGCCACUCGGCGCUCUGGACGCAAAGCUGCGCAAAGAGAUGCAGGGAGAGCUGAAAAAGAUCCAGAAAGAGAUCGGUAUUACCUUUGUCUUUGUAACACAUGAUCAGGAAGAGGCGCUGACCAUGUCGGAUACCGUCGUGGUUAUGAACGAAGGAACGAUCCAGCAGAUCGGUUCCCCGAUUGACAUCUAUAACGAGCCGGAGAACCGCUUCGUGGCGGGAUUCAUCGGCGAAUCCAACAUUAUCGACGGCGUGAUGAAUGACGAUUUCCUUGUGACAUUUGAUGAUGUGCAGUUUGAGUGCGUGGAUAACGGAUUCCCGAAAAAUGAACCGGUUGAUGUGGUGCUCCGUCCGGAGGAUAUCGACAUUGUAAAGCCGGAAGACGGCAAGCUCCAGGGUGUGGUGCGUUCCGUUACCUUCAUGGGCGUGCAUUACGAGAUCGUGGUAGAGACCGUGCACCGCGACUACCGCAUUCACACGACAGAUUACUGCGCGCCGGGCACGGCGGUUGGUCUGACACUGACACCGGACGACAUUCACGUUAUGUGGAAAACCACCUAUUAAAGCAUCGGACAGGAGGAGAAAAUGAAACACUACAGAAAACUGACGCUGCCAUACCUGGUAUGGUGCAUCAUUUUCAUAUUGAUCCCGCUCGUCCUGAUCGUGCUUUAUGCGGUUACGACAAUCGGCAAUCCGGUGAUCAGCAUCAACUUCACCUUGUCGAAUUUUGCGAAGAUCAAUGAUCCCACGUAUAUUCGCGUUUUUAUCAAAUCAUUUGAGCUGGGAGUGAUCACGACGCUGAUCUGCUUCCUGGCAGGCUACCCUUUUGCAUACGUGAUUUCACGCCAGUCGGACAGUGUGCAGGACCUGCUGAUCCUGCUGGUUACCGUCCCGACCUGGAUCAAUAUGCUGCUGCGUACCUACGCUUAGGAUGUUGAUGUGAUACUGCGAGC